rnacentral:lncRNA from 1 species
AGAAGCAAGAGGUAAGAUGGUUUGGGGGAUGUCUCUGAGCCAACACUAUGCAUUUGGAGAAAGAUGAAAAACUACAGACAAGUCACCUCACAUCACAGCUUAAAUCUUGUUGAUGGCCAUAAUCCGUAUAGUACCAUGACACCUUAUUGAUGUUGAUACAAGAGACCAUGUUGAAAAUCUUGGUCCAUCUUGCUGCUUAAGACAAUGUCGAAGUAAGUGUUAUGUGCUGCUACAGUUGUCCAGUUGGAAGUCGAUGACCUGAACUGCAAACUAUAGCUAUGUUGAAGUAACUGAUGACUAUUCACAACCACCAACCAACCAUGUUGAUGUCCAAAUGGAGACCUUGUAAUAGUCAUGAUCCCUGUUGACAACAGAGACACUGUUGAAUUCCAUGGUCAAUACUGCCUCCUGAAACCAUAUUCAGGGAAGUGUUCUAUUUUGUACCUAAGAACCAGUAUAAUCUAUAAAAUUCAAACUGCUCAAUGGCAAUAUGUUGUUGUCAUAGCAACCUAUUGAUACUGUAGAUACCAGUAAAGAUUCCAUAAGCAAUGUAAUCUUUACUGGUAUCAGUGAUUCAUGAUUCAACCAAUUUAUGAGAAGUGUUCAACCAGUUGUAACCAUUUUGAUGUCACACUGAAUCCUGACACUAGAGGUUUCUGAACAUCAUCUUACCUGUUC